UUUUCAAACCUUGCUCCCUCACUCCUCAGUCCUCUCCCUAGCCCCUCUGUGGGUCACUGCACUGCUGCCUGCUUGAGUUCCAGACUCUGCCUUACUCUUCCGCGGUGCCGCUGGCCGCCGCCUCUACGUCGCUGCUGCAUUGCUGCCUGCCUCUGCCUUGCUCUUCUGCAACGCCACUGCCCCUGCUUCUCUCUGCCCGAAGCCAGCCAUCUCAGCCUUUAAGGGAAACACAACUGCACAAGUUCCUUUCUUCUUCAUAGCUCGCAGCCGCCGCUCCUGCAACUUCUUGUUUACACGCGCUGCCGUCAACACCAUUGUCAAAGCCACUGGAAUCAAAAGUCCCCUUUAAAACCCUACUCCAAAGAUGCAGCACGAUGAGGUUAUAUGGCAUGUUAUUAGGCACAACCAUUGUAGUUUCAUGGCCAAAAUUACAACGGGGAAUUUUUGUAGAAACCCUUACAAUGUUACUGGACUUUGCAAUCGAAGCUCGUGCCCCUUAGCUAACAGUCGCUAUGCUACUAUACGAGAGGAAAAUGGUGUGUUUUACCUUUACAUGAAAACUAUAGAAAGAGCUCAUAUGCCAAG